rnacentral:rRNA from 1 species
AUUGAACGCUGGCGGCAGGCCUAACACAUGCAAGUCGAGCGGAUGAAGGGAGCUUGCUCCUGGAUUCAGCGUCGGACGGGUGAGUAAUGCCUAGGAAUCUGCCUGGUAGUGGGUGAUAACGUCCUGAAACGGGCGCUAAUACCGCAUACGUCCUGCGGGAGAAAGUUGGGGAUCUUCGGACCGCACGCUAUCAGAUGAGCCUAGGUCGGAGUAGCUAGUUGGUGGGUUAAAGGCCUACCAAGGCGACGAUCCGUAACUGGUCUGAGAGGAUGAUCAGUCACACUGGAACUGAGACACGGUCCAGACUCCUACGGGAGGCAGCAGUGGGGAAUAUUGGACAAUGGGCGAAAGCCUGAUCCAGCCAUGCCGCGUGUGUGAAGAAGGUCUUCGGAUUGUAAAGCACUUUAAGUUGGGAGGAAGGGCAGUAAGUUAAUACCUUGCUGUUUUGACGUUACCAACAGAAUAAGCACCGGCUAACUUCGUG